AAAGUCCCCUUCGGGGGACAAGUAGAGUGGCGCACGGGUGAGUAACACGUAGGUAAUCUACCUUCGGAUGGGGAAUAACAACCGGAAACGGUUGCUAAUACCGCAUAAUGCAGCGGCACCUAAUGGUGACAGUUGUUAAAGCGGGGGAUCGCAAGACCUCGCGUCUGAAGAGGAGCCUGCGGCGGAUUAGCUAGUUGGUAAGGUAAUGGCUUACCAAGGCGACGAUCCGUAACCGGCCUGAGAGGGCGGUCGGUCACACUGACACUGACAUACGGGUCAGACUCCUACGGGAGGCAGCAGUCGGGAAUUUUGGGCAAUGGGCGAAAGCCUGACCCAGCAACGCCGCGUGAAGGAUGAAAUCCCUCGGGAUGUAAACUUCGCAAGAACGGGAAGAAUAAGUAGGGGACAAUACCCCCUAUGAUGACGGUACCGUUUGUAAGCUCCGGCUAACUCCGUGCCAGCAGCCGCGGUAAUACGGGGGGAGCAAGCGUUGUUCGGAUUUACUGGGCGUAAAGGGCGCGUAGGCGGCCAGCGCAAGUCAGUUGUGAAAUCUCCGAGCUUAACUCGGAAAGGUCAACUGAUACUGCGCGGCUAGAGUGCAGAAGGGGCAACUGGAAUUCUUGGUGUAGCGGUGAAAUGCGUAGAUAUCAAGAGGAACACCUGCGGCGAAGGCGGGUUGCUGGGCUGACACUGACGCUGAAGCGCGAAAGCUAGGGGAGCGAACGGGAUUAGAUACCCCGGUAGUCCUAGCCUUAAACGAUGAAUGCUUGGUGUCUGGGGUUAUAAAGUCCCCGGGUGCCGUCGCUAACGCUUUAAGCA
rnacentral:rRNA from 1 species